CCUACGGGUGGCAGCAGUGGGGAAUAUUGCACAAUGGGGGAAACUCUGAUGCAGCGACGCCGCGUGAAGGAAGAAGUAUUUCGGUAUGUAAACUUCUAUCAGCAGGGAAGAAAAUGACGGUACCUGCCUAAGAAACCCCGGCUAACUACGGGCCAGCAGCCGCGGUAAUACGUAGGGGGCAAGCGUUUUCCGGAUGUACUGGGUGUAAAGGGGACGUAGGCGGUUUAGCAAGUUAGAAGUGAAAGCCCGGGGCUCAACCCCGGGACUGCCUUUUAAAAUGUUGAACUGGAGUGCAGGAGAGGUAAGUGGAAUUCCUGGUGUAGCGGUGAAAUGCGUAGAUAUUAGGAGGAACACCAGUGGCGAAGGCGGCUUACUGGACUGUAAAUGACGCUGAGGCUCGAAAGCGUGGGGAGCAAACAGGAUUAGAUACCCCGGUAGUC
rnacentral:rRNA from 1 species